rnacentral:rRNA from 1 species
UAUUGGUGAAAUGAAUUUCGCCUGAGGAUGAGCUCGCGUCUGAUUAGCUAGUUGGUGAGGUAAUGGCUCACCAAGGCUUCAAUCAGUAGCUGGUCUGAGAGGAUGAUCAGCCACACUGGGACUGAGACACGGCCCAGACUCCUACGGGAGGCAGCAGUGGGGAAUUUUCCGCAAUGGGCGAAAGCCUGACGGAGCAACGCCGCGUGAGGG